AACGAACGCUGGCGGCAUGCCUAACACAUGCAAGUCGAACGAAGCCUUCGGGCUUAGUGGCGCACGGGUGCGUAACACGUGGGAAUCUGCCCUUAGGUACGGAAUAACUCAGGGAAACUUGAGCUGAUACCGUAUGAUGUCUUCGGACCAAAGAUUUAUCGCCUGAGGAUGAGCCCGCGUCGGAUUAGCUAGUUGGUGGGGUAAAGGCCUACCAAGGCGACGAUCCGUAGCUGGUCUGAGAGGAUGAUCAGCCACACUGGGACUGAGACACGGCCCAGACUCCUACGGGAGGCAGCAGUGGGGAAUAUUGGACAAUGGGCGAAAGCCUGAUCCAGCAAUGCCGCGUGAGUGAAGAAGGCCUUCGGGUUGUAAAGCUCUUUUACCCGGGAAGAUAAUGACUGUACCGGGAGAAUAAGCCCCGGCUAACUCCGUGCCAGCAGCCGCCGUAA
rnacentral:rRNA from 1 species